rnacentral:sRNA from 1 species
GCCGCCAGUGUGAUGGAUUCGUUUUCCGUGUUUCACCUGAUUCAUAAAUGAUUACAAUUUACUACUCGCUGAUCUGC